ACUCCUACGGGAGGCAGCAGUAGGGAAUCUUCCACAAUGGGCGCAAGCCUGAUGGAGCAGCACCGCGUGAGUGAAGAAGGGUUUCGGCUCGUAAAGCUCUGUUGUUAAAGAAGAACACGUAUGAGAGUAACUGUUCAUACGUUGACGGUAUUUAACCAGAAAGUCACGGCUAACUACGUGCCAGCAGCCGCGGUAAUACGUAGGUGGCAAGCGUUAUCCGGAUUUAUUGGGCGUAAAGAGAGUGCAGGCGGUUUUCUAAGUCUGAUGUGAAAGCCUUCGGCUUAACCGGAGAAGUGCAUCGGAAACUGGAUAACUUGAGUGCAGAAGAGGGUAGUGGAACUCCAUGUGUAGCGGUGGAAUGCGUAGAUAUAUGGAAGAACACCAGUGGCGAAGGCGGCUACCUGGUCUGCAACUGACGCUGAGACUCGAAAGCAUGGGUAGCGAACAGGAUUAGAUACCCU
rnacentral:rRNA from 1 species